CUGCGAAUGGCUCAUUAUAUCAGUUAUAGUUUCUUUGAUGAAGAAUACUAAUUGGAUAACCGUAGUAAUUCUAGAGCUAAUACAUGUAUAAAGUCUUGUAGACUGCAUUUAUUAGAAUGAAAACCAUAGGUUUCGGCCUAUUCGUGAGUAAUAAUAACUAAUCAUAUCGUAUGCUUAAGUAACGAUGUGUCUUUCAAGUUUCUGCCCUAUCAGCUUUCGAUGGUAGUGUAUUGGACUACCAUG
rnacentral:rRNA from 1 species